UGAGAGAGGGAGAGUCCGGUAGGUUUAAUUACUCAAGUUUUUCAGUUGGUGAUAAGACUCUGCAUUGUUGGUUCCUGUGUCGUUCCAUAGAAGACCCAAACAAAAAUGCAGUUUCGACCUUUUCAGAUGCUAUUAGUUAUAAUAUAUACUAAGGAUAUCUUUUAUGAACCACCAAGAAUUGUUAUGCUCUAUGAUUAAUUUUUUAAUGUUAUAUAUAAAUAUAUACAUGUUACAUAAAGAGUUGUUGAUGAGUAGGGGUCCGUUUGGAUUAGCAUGUCUUUGGAGUUGAGUUUUUUUUUUUUUUUUUUUUUGCUUCCUUAAUUACCUUUAGCUAAGUAGUUUUGUUACUCGUGUUAAUGACAGUUGAAUCGAUAAAAUCCACAAAAGAUUACCUAUAGCAUAAAAAUAAAAUAAAAAAAACAACUUAAGAAUUCUAUCUAAACUUAAACUUAGACUUUCUUUUCAACUAUGAUUGACGAUUUGUUCCUAAAGCUCAUAUUAAUCUUCACUUAAUUAACUGCAAUCUUUUGCUGGAAAUGAUCGAUUUGGAUACUUCCACAAACUGCACAAUCUCUCACACUCACUCACUCAAUCACUAAUAUCCUUCACUUGAAUUUCUGAUUUAGCAAACCAAAGAUGAUGAUGACGAGAGGAGCUCUUGUGCUCUUCUUUUGUCUUUUCUUUAGCUUUGACACAAAGUUUUGCUGCUUCUGAUGCCAAAGCUCCUGCACCACCCUCGCCAUCCAAAGGUUCCCCAUGGUGGCACCCUGACCCUAGCAAGCUUCAAAAGUGCACUGGAGCUUACCGCACUGCUCCGGGAACGUGCUACCGUGAGAUUUUCGUAUCUUUUUGGAUACGAAAGGUUGCCAUUGGGGAAGAUUGCUGUAAGGACAUUGUAGAAGCUGAUGAUGAUUGUGCCUCUACUGUGUUCAGCCAGUUCAACAACCACUUCUUCCAGAUGUUGAAGCAACAUUGCUCGAACAAGGAAGGCCACGCCAGCACCAUCGCCACCAAAGGCAACACCGGCACCACCUCCACCGAAAGCAACACCAUCACCACCAAAGUCAUAAGAUUUCUAGUCGAGUCUUAGAUUAGGGUUAUUUUAGUAUUCUUUUGGUAUUUUAUUAACAUUAAUUAAACUUUAUUUAAAUCUUUAGGUGGUGGCUGUGGUUGGGUCAAACACAGCUUUAAUUAGUUCCCCUAACUGCCAAGCUUCCAAAUUUUCUAAGACUUCCUCCUAACACCGACCCUUAAGAUAAUAAAACUUCAACUAUUGCUUGCAAAGUUGCAAUGCAAAGGUCAACUAGCAUGCGCAGCCAGCAGCUUCAAUAGUUAAUCCCACCCUUCGGGUGGGAACACCCCGUAGUAUUUACCAAAAAAUAGAUUAAAAAAAUUGAAUGUCUAAUUUAAAAGUCGAGCAGAGAGACACGUAUGAAAAGACAAAAAGUCAACCACAAGCUGCUGCAUGAAAUAUUGGUAAAAUGAAUCAACAUGAUUGAAUUGAUGAUGCGGUUGGACCAAUUGCAAUGCACGCCUAAAAAGGGAGACCAGAAUAUAGAUCAUCUGCAAAAAUCAUAUAUUAAAUCUUCGUUUUAUAACCAAUUAGCAGGCCUAUAAUCUGCCAUUUGGGUUUUCUUUAAUGGGUCAAUUGUCAACUAUCUGCAAACUUAGGGAAUGAGCAAGGAGAAAAUCAACUUUUUUUCAAAAAAAUAUCGGCUCGAAAUUCCCAACUGGCUUGACUAACAUGUUCAUUUAUACACAUUUUUCUUUACCCCAACCCCAAAAAGGAAACAAAAAAUAAAAAUUCCCACAAAUCAUCUGAAAACCCAUGAAUCUUAUAAGAAACUAUAUGUCAAAAGGCUAAAAAGAAAUAGAAGAAAGAAAGGAAAAAAAAAAAAAAAGGAAUAAAACUAAUGGUGUCUGGUGUUGGAGCUACGGACCGUGACACCAUGCAAAAAUUUUGUAUAUCCAAGGAAACUAAGCUUUCCAUCUGCGCUUCUGAUCCAAUCUCUGAGGACAGAGUAGGCAGAAGGGCCAAGAUUUAAUUCCUGCAGUGACAGGGUAAAUGCGAUUGAGAUCAAAUCAGAAUUGCAACAGAACUCAGCUGCAGAAAAAAAACAAAAAAAGGACUUCCAUGAUAAUGAAAGAGGUAGAAUUGGACAUACUCUGGCCAAUUCUUCGAUCGAUAUGACUCGGUUACCCUCGCGUUCAAAAUGCUCAAAAGCAGUAGAGGCUAUCUGCUCCCAACCUUCAAGGGCCUCCAAUUGAUGCGUACUGAUUGCGGCCGCACAAAAUUCUUCAAAGUCCAUCGCUCUAUAAGCAAGUGGCUCCAUCUGAAGUCAAAUACAGCAUGGAAUUGAGAAACUGAUUACUACUGAAUUCAGAAUAAUAUAUAAACAAAGAAAGAAAAGAUCGAGCCCGGGAUCUUCUUGAAAAUGGGAAGAUCUAGGAUAGGCGGCCAACCAAAAACUCAUAUUAGAAAGACAAUCGUUUUUUGUUUAUAGGGAAAGGCAGAGUCUGUAAGAAUUUGGCCAAAGGAAAGUGACCUUCUGUUGCAUUUCCUAAAUUGAAAUGACCUCAAAAAUAGAAAUGACUUACAGCAUUUAGUAUAUCAACAACCCUCGACUCCCUCAUCGCCUCAGUUGAAUUUCUUUGAAGAGCCUGCAAAAUUCGAUCUUCUAAGCAUAAAAUGACUUUCUUACAAACAAAAAGAACAACGGGAAAAACACAAGUCCCUCUUCAAAAUAUAUCUCGCUUGUACAGCCAAAUUAAAAGCAUUAGGAGUAGGAAAUAACCGUUUUGAAAUUAAGAAGAGAGACACGUUCAUCAUUAUCUGGUUCCAAAAGCAUGAAUUGGGCUCUAAGAUAUAUCAGCUCAUCCUCUGUCAGGGCUUUCGAAAGAGACUGCAAUUACAACAUGAAAAAACAGAAACACAAUUUUGAUAUCCAUCACAAAGGAAUCUCAAUCCUUACUUGUUGCAAUAUAAUAGACAUUAAUCUAGUGGCAUACAGUUGAAAAUGAUUUUCCAUACUUGCCCCGUGAAAAGUAAAAGAUAUGGCACAUUAAUAAUCACACAACCUUAGACACAGGAAAUAAGAAAGGAAAAAUAAGACAAAAGGGGAUAAAAAGUCACGUAAUUUACUUGGAUUCAGCUAUCUGGAGAAAUUGAGAGGAAAUUAGAAUUUUGCCAAUUUUGUUUCUAUGAGCCAACAGUCUCUCCAAAUCCUGCCUACUUUAUAGAGAGAGUUUAAGAGAUAAAACUAGAAUUUUUCCCUUUUCUUUUCUCUUCCAUUUAGAAAUAGGAACCAAACAAUGGAAAGGAAUAUGGGAAUUUAAUAACAAAACAAAGGGUCAAUUUUUCCAUUAACUUCACCAAUUAAUGUUUCUAUAAAACUAAACAUUGAUUACAUGGGCAAUAUCUUGCUUCAUGUAAUCAAAGAUUAUCAUGAAAAAGUUGAAGAUACAUUCUGCAUUAUCAUAAAUAAAUAAAAAUGUAAAAUUACUUUAACAGGAAUUAAUCAUUGACUAAAAACCAAGAGUUGAAGUUUUGGCAUUCAAGAGCAGAGACGACUAAGUUAAAUAUACUAAUAAUAAUCAGGUGAUAUCCAAAAUCUCUUAAAGUGAAAAAUGCAAUGGGUGAAGGUAGCAAAAACCAUAUUUGGAAAUGAUAAUAAUACCUUAAGUGUUGCACGUUUGAAGGGCGUAGCAUGGAGAUAUGAUUUGACCAAUUUGUAGAUCAAUACAUCUAAAGGAAGGGGACGACUAUCAUUUCGCAACCAUGGGUGAGCUGCCAAUUAUGAGUGAUUAUUAGCUUUAAAUAUCAAAUCGAAAACAUCAAUUAUCAUCACUUUCAAAUAAGAAUGCCAAAGUAAAAUCAAGUUCUGAUUUGGCAAACAGUAUUCAGUGUAAUGUCACUCAUGCUUGUGAUUUGUAAAUAAAUAUUUUGGGGCAUCCAACUAACAAUCAAUAAAGUUACGUAGCUGGAGAUGUUUGGGAUGAUUCUAUCACCAUCUUUUUUGAGAGGAAUGAAUAAAGCUAGUUCAGCAUAUGACACAAUAUAGGUGGACAUUUAGUUCAAAUAUGAUGGACCGACUAAAUGGCAAUCUCCCACCCACUCCCUAAUAUAAUUUUUAUUUUCUUUCAGAAUGUGGGAGGAAAAGACAUAAGACCACCCAAGCAUCAUUAAGAGCAAAGCAUAUCAUCUAAAAUUUCCACCAAUUGGCUAAUCUCUUAGGUACUUUAGACAGCAAUAGAAAGAAAUUUGCUUACCUAAAGCCUGGACAGCAGUCAUUCUUUUCCUGUAGUCCUUAUUCAAAAGCCUUCUUACGAAGUCCUUGGCCUCUAGAGACAUAGAAGGCCAGGGUAAAUCAUCAAAACUCGGAUCAGCUCUUAGCACUGCACGGAAAAUUCCAGAUUCCGUUCGUGCCCAGAAAGGUCGGCUUCCGCAUAGCAGGAUAUAUGUGAUAACACCAAUGCUCCAUAUAUCUCCCUCAAGGCUAUAAGAUCUAUGGAGGACUUCAGGUGCAACAUAGUAUGCACUUCCAACAAUAUCAUUAAGUCUUUCAUCUGCACAUAUAUGCAUAAACGGAUCAAUAAUAAAGGAAAGAUUUCCUCAUAUAAUCUAGUAAGUACCAACGAAUAAAGUCUGAAAUAGAUCUAGCGGUCGAAAGGGCAAAAAGUAUAUUGAAAUUGGACAAUUGAAAAUGUACUGUGCAUGUUGUCCACUGCUGUUCUCAUAAUAUUAUGGCAUUUUUUGGUGCGAAUAAUCAAAUUUAGUUUGUCUUAAAAAAGCUUGAAAAACAAAACAAAUGCUUUAUUUUUUCAAGAGAGGUUAGAUCAGAUAAUUCAUGUUGCAUAGAAUUGGAUUGGACUUGACACAAAUGUAACGUCAUCCAUGGGUUUAACCUUGAGUUGAUAACUAUCAUCAAAUUUAUCAAAUGCAGUCUCAGAUUGACUGCCAAGUCAUGGCACAAUGUUCCAUUUAAUUGAAACAUCAAAUACUCAGGAAAAUCCGAAUGUUGUCCCUUUGAAAAGGAUAACAAUAAAUAAACCAAGUGGUACCUUGAAACUGCAGCUCUAAUAUAUUUAUUAAAUCAAGGAGAAUAUUCAACUUCAACUAACGAGAGAGUAGCAAUGAUCAUCAAAAGUUACCUGGUCUGAUAAAGUCAGAAAGACCAAAAUCAAUGAGCUUCAUAUCAGCAUCUUCACUUCUAGAAGCGAAAAGGAAAUUCUGUUAAGCAGGAAAGAGAGAGAAUAUAUUUAGCACUAAGUUUGGAGGUAGAAACAGAUACGAGAUCGUAAUUAACUGAAGCACAUAUAGGUUGAAAAUCGAAACCUCUGGCUUUAAGUCACGGUGCACAACGCCUUGAAGAUGACAAAAUGCAACAACACUUAAGAUCUGCACAACUAUAUGUUUUGCAUCUUCCUCUGCAUAUCUUCCACCUCUGCAAUUAAGGCGAGUUUUUCAACACAAUUCAGCUUUGCAAUGAAAUGACUAAUAUUUAAAUACUGGCCAAGAAAAUACCUAGAUAAAAUUCUGUCAAGAAGUUCCCCACCUUCACACAAUCUGGUAAGAGAACAAAAAUCCACAGAUGUCAUACCCAAAAAGCAGGAGAAAUAUGGCAUAUGAUGCCUCAACCAGAAAUUUUUUAUACUUCAUCAUUCAACAAUCAUGUAUGCAACACCAACCUAACUGACUAUUUUCACUUAAAUAAAUAAUAUUUAAAAGGAAAGUAUCAGUCAACAUUACAAAACAUAGAUAACAUAAAGAAUGCCUGACCCUCCAAAUAAAAAGGAUGAAAAGAAAACAAGGUAUACAUACUCCAUGACUAUGUAAACAUUAUUGGCGUCUUCACAUGCAUCAUAAAAUUUUACAAGAUGCUUAUGCCCAGAUAGAGCUUUCAAUAUCUUCACCUCUCUACGAACAUCUUCAAUCGAUAUCGCUGUCGUCAUCUGCCAAAUGAAUUUGGUAAGAAAUAAAUACUAUGCAUUUAAAUUGGGUAAUCGAUAUUUGCAAAGUUUCACACCAUUACAGUUAAAGAAAUUUGAGACCUACAGAAAAAGGAAAAGGAAUAUGAGGAAGGAUGACAAUUGUCCAAAUCACUUGUACACGGGUGUUAUCGUACUUCCCCAAAAGCACUCCCAUACAGAUUGUAGACUAUAUACAUUUCCAGCUGUAAAUUGCAGUUUCUGACAACGCGUUGUAAUAGAUCAUAAUACUAUCCCAAUUAUAAAUUACCAAUUUUGACAUAUGCAAGUAGAUAUCUGGGUAAAUGAAAGGGCAAGUUGAGUUCUGAGGCGAGUUAGAUGCAAAUAACUAAAUUUGAAAAGUAAAAACAGUUUACGCUCGUAAUGCAUGCAAGACCUAUGAUGUAUGACACUUCAUUCAAGACCUAGGAUGUAUGACACUGAGGAACAACCAAAUGUACCUUUGACUAGUCAUUUCAGAAACUUAAACAAUUCUUAUUCGUUGAUUACAAUAGUUAAGAUACAUGGAAGAUGGGAAAUCGAAUAAUUACGAUUUUGAACAAAACUGUCGCGUACCUAGUUUGGGGACUUCGAUGAUUACGUAAUCAUUACAGAACGAUAAUUAUCAUGCAUUAAUGCAACCAGGGCACGAUGACACGUUAGCUAAAUUCUGCAGAGAUGGCAACGUGGACGCAGUGAAAACGCAACGUAAGAUUCUAAGUACGUCUGAGCUGAACACAUCAUCUUCAUGCUGCAUAUCCCACAUCAUUGUGGGAUACAGCAAACAGAUCAGCCCUUAUCUUUUCUUCUUCAGUAAGAAAUUAAUAUUCAGUAUCUAGUUCAUAAAUUCUGUUUAACCAGAAGAAUUACCAUCAAUGUGGUUUCUCUAUAUAUGCAUUUUAUAUGGUUCUUUUCUUCUUCUCCAUGCAUUACAUUUCCACAGCUAUUUCGUUCCUUUUCCAUUUCUUAUUAAAUCGCAAAUGACACCACCUAAUAUGAACUCAAAAGUGGUUCCCCUAAGACAUAGCCAUUCCAAUCCCCAUACAUUUCCCACUACAGUUUCGACAUGACAAUAAUGGAAUAUCUUCUACAUAAAGAUAACUCAUUUAAGUUCCCACUAUACCAUAAUUUAUAUAUAAACAGAAUUUGCAUUUCAGAAACAACAAUUACUAAAAAACCAAAGAAAGGAAUAUACAAUUGAUAGCAUAGGUCGAUUGUACCUUGGCUUUGGAAAUGAUCUUAACAGCCACAGGCUGGUCCUUGAGCUCGCCCUUCUUGCCUCUACCAGAACAAGUAUGACCAAAAUGCCCUCGCCCCACUUCCUUCCCUAGCUCAUACUUAGCUCCAAAAUUCUUCCCAUACCCGAAACUCUUGUCCAGCAACUGUUCCGGUUCAACUCCGUGCUCCUCGGGAAUCGGGCUCUCCUUGGGCUUACCGAACCGCUUGGCUAGAGACGCCUUUAUAUGCUUCGCCGGAGAAGGAGGCGCGAACCUCCGCCGGAAAAACCUCCCCGGAGUCGACGACCUCGCCGGUGACGGCGAUACUCCCGCUGGCAAGGGGCUAGCCGAAACGCCUUGCGGGUAGGGGCUCGGCCACGGGCUAGGGUUCGACGACCGGGCCGGCGUGUUUUUCACGCUGACGACGCCGUUUUGCGAGCUAUGCGGCGUACUCUGAGGUUGGUGCACGGAGGUUGUGAUGGUGGUUACGGUGGUGGCGACGGUAGUUACGGUGGUUGCGUUCGGCUCAUUUUCAGUCGUCGGAAUACUCUUGCCGUAGCACUGGCCCAUCGUCGAAGCUCACUCCGGCGGUGUAUCGGAUCACGAGCCCAAGUCAAAGUCCGCACAUCUGACGGCCCGUGUCGAAUCUGAGUCGACUCUCGCCGGCGAGAGACGACAAAAUGAGAAAAUGAGAAAAUGAGAAAUUUGAGAUCUACGGCGAGAAAACGAUAAACCAAGAGAAUGAAAGAGAAUUUGAGUCAGGAGAGAAAGAGAGAGAGAAAGCAAGAAAGGAAGAGAGGGACCGAGACAGAAUGAGUAGGGGCCUUCUCUGUUGAGACACAAGGAGCCAAGUGAUGGGAGAUUAUAAGCUACUCGCCUCCAUACAAAGAAACGAAAUCUUCGACAGAUUCUGGACCGUCAGAUUUGAAUAAUCACACAUGGAUGGUCAAAAUCAGAGUUUGAAAAUGAUUGCGAGAAUGAACGGUUGGAUUUAGCAUGCUAGUAUACGUUCUACGUGCUCUAGAAUGUACGCUAGUAUUCUCACUCCUUGUGCUUCUGUGUACAACUCCUUUUGAUUUUGUCUCUUGCUUCUUUGUUUGCGUUUUUUGUAAUAUUUAAAUUCAAAAAGGGCUUUUCGGGAAAGGGAGGAUAAAUAUUCUGUGCGGUUUGGUGUACGGUGUUUUAAUGGAGCUGCUGAGCUUUGACUAGUUAAUGAUGGUGGGUGAUUAAAUUUACCCCGUUUUGACAGGUGGCAGGCUAGUGAGGUAUCGAGGAGAAUUGUCGUUCAAGGUGUGCGUAGCAGGGGAUAAAAAAUUUGGAAGCGGAUUUGAGUGAGUCAGAACUGACGAACAUGCACAGCCUGGUCCGAAGGUUCGAAAUAGGUGGCGAUCCGGUGGGAGACUGAAGAAAAGUGAAUGGGCUGUGCCCCUUUUUCUGCCGUUGAUCACCGCCUUCAGUUAGUUGACUUUGAUUUACUUCAUUAGAGUACAUCACUGUAGAGUGUAGAGAUAAUUAUGCAGUAGCUCUAGGCGAGGAAAAAAAAAGGGAUAAUUAAGCAAGUUUUAUGUAAUGAAAAUUGCAAGCGGGCCUAACUCAAUUAAAAAGGAUCUUAACUUGUAAAUCAGAAGUUUUAAAUUCGAACUUAAAUUUGUUAGUGUCUUGAAAAUUACAAUCCAACAAUUUAUUUACAAUACCAGUUAUAGUCAGGAUAAUUAAAUUAUUGAGAAAAUGGCACUGGUGUCCUUGUGAUUAUAUUUAUAUUUCUUCUUCAAAUUCUGAUUCUUGUCAAAUCCUAUAAUCUCAUUGACCAAAAUAAAAUUCCUAUCAUCUUAAAUUUAAAUUUAAAAUAAACCCCAUGUUGUUUUUAAUCAUUAUUAAGUCAAGGUCAUUUUAUUAGUGGUAUUGAGUCUUUAUUUUGUUAGAUAAGGCUAUUAGUUGAAAUCUCAUAAGUACGAGAGUUUGGUAUAAAUAAAUGUGGACAUUUGAUGAGGGCAAUAAGAAUAAGUUGUCUUUGUAUUGCUUUGCUUCUUACGGUUUAUUUUUCACGUUAAGAAAUAGUUGAAAGCAGUAAUUGAGUUCUGUAUUGUGCACUAAAACAGGCCUUACUACAAAAAUGAAACACAAAUAUUGUUAUUAACUAAAAUAGGCCUUACUUUUGUUUCGAACUACAAAUAUUGUUGAAUAUUUCUAAAGAAACUCGUAUUAAUACUAUGGUUGAAUCACAAGUUUUAUUUUUACGUAAUGUUUUGUGUGGUCAGACUGGACUGGACUAUUUGAAUUAAAACGGAUGAGAAUCUUGAUCGUUGUUUGAUGAACAUAAAAUGUUGAGACUAGAUUCAUUGAAUUAGACAACAAUCCAAAUUGUCCAAUAUAUACAAACUUGAUCUAGAGUGGUGAGACAGAUAAAGAUUAUCUUAGGCAUAAUUCUCCUUGUUGUAUAACUGAAACAAUUAGAAUAAGGGUUGCAAAACAUGAACAUGUCAACUUUCCACUUACUCCCACUGGCCGCAAUAUCUUUGUCUAAGAAGACGUUAAGUAAAACUUGUGGUGAUGGGAUGAACAACCCUCUUAUUGCAUCAAAUGAUUUGACUUGCUCGAAAGGCUUAUAUACAAAAGGACAGUAUUUUUAGACCUACUAUUUUAUCCAAAACGCUAUUGAUUACACCAUGAGAAGACCUUGGAGGUUCAAAACCACAAGCCAACAAAUAAUUAGAGCGCAAGCAAAUAGCUUUGUUAAUGUCAUUAGAAAACCUACCCUUGUGGCUCUAUUAUAUAAUUAUACUCCAAUAUGAGAAUAUAUUAGGUAUCUAUAUGAUUUACUAACUGCAUUACGCUUCUCAAAAGUACCUUUUCAAACAACAACAACAAAAUUCGCAACAACUAAUAACAUAUUGUAUACAUUUUUUGAAAUUAGGGUCGACUUUGAGAUUCUAGAAGUUCCAAAUAAACCCUCGAGGUGAGACUCUUCCGACCUACAUGUAUUUUACAUGGAUAAAGAAAAAGUCAAUUACUUCCAAAAAUUUCUUUCUGUUAUAUCUUAGAAAAAUGAAGACCAUAAUUUCAAAUAAUCAACAAGUUUAUAUAUUUAGGAAGCAUUGCCAUGGGUCACGUUGACUUAUUCUAUCGAUCAACAGCUCAGGAUAACUACAAUGCCUUUAAAUUUUAAUACGAUGUCCGACCACAUGACUUAGAAGUUAAGAGGGAUAUCGUGGAUGUUGUAAAAUACUAACUACAUUUAAUUACGUCAAUAGUAUUAUAUAUAUAUAUAUAUAUAUAUUUGGAUACAAAAGAGGACCAAAAAAGUGAGAGAUAGAGAUGUUUUAUAUUGUUUUUUGUUUUUUUGGGAAUUAUUUAUUUAUUUUAGUAUGAGUGAUAGUCUAAAUUACAAGGAUAUAAAGGUUUCUCACAGCGCCAUGGGGUUCAAACCUGAGACCACUAAUCUGCAAAUUAAGGUAGCUUUUUACUGGACUAGACCCCGUUGGAAAAAGAUACUUUAUUGAAAGUCUUGAGUACGAAUGUGAUUUGACCCAAAAAAAAAGGUACGUAUGUGAUUUGACCAAAAAAAAAGGCAUGUAACAGAGAGAUAAUGGAUUUCUCACACACACACAUUACCAAAGUAUUAUGAAAGUUCAAACUUAAGAUAACUUAUAUACAAAUCAAGUCCUUUUACCAUGUGAUAUUAAUACUAUUACAAGUUACAACUCGAAACUACAAACCCUUACCUCACAACUAAUUUCGUUGAAUUCAAAAGGCCAAGUGCCUGGGCAGGAAAAGAGGUUGGUAUGUAUAGAAGCAAAAGGCUUUAAGGCUGCCAAAAGAAAAAAUCACCCCACAAUAAAUCAAGGUUGGCUUCCCCAACUCAUUCGGUUUGGUUUGAUUAAAAGAAGUGGUUGGUUUGAUCCACAAUAAAUCAAGGAUGCUAUUUUCACCUCCUAUUCUAUUUUUUCAUUCACUGUGUAAAUUUGAAAAAACAUGAUCAUAUCUUUCCACUCACCAUUAUUUCUAAAAUACCCUUUAAUUAUUAUUUUCUUUUUAUCAAAAAUAAUAAUUUAAAAGAUAAAAAAAGAAGCUUAAUGGAACUUUAACAAUUAACUCCUGCAAAUCGUUAUUCUUCUUUUCUUUUUUCUUCUUUCUUUCUCUGCAGUUUCUCCACCCAAUUGCAUAGGGUUUUUUUUCCCUCUUCUUUACUCUAAGUUUGGUUGGUUUUGGUGGUGGCUUGAGAAAAUUCGGGGUUGGGACCUGCGAAUUGAAGGGUAGUCUCAUUGUUGAGUUGGAGGGUUUGUUAGGAGAGGCUGUAGGAAGCAAUGACAAACGUAGUUGGCGUAUUGAAUUAAAUUGAAUUUGAACGAUUUUGAUUAUUAUGUAGAGAUCAGUUAAGUCAUUAUAAAGAGAGUCUACCCAAAAUAAAAAAAAUAAAAAUCUUCUGUUUUGGAGAGUUUGUUUAGGGUUUAGGAAGGAAGAAGGAAAAACUAAACCUGUGCAAUUGGAUGGAGAAGCUACAGAUAUAAGAAAUAAGGAAAGAAAAGAAACAAAAAACAAAAAAAAGAAGACUAAACUGAUUUGGGGGAGAUAUUGACCCAAAAAAAAAAAAAAAGAUUGGGGAAGAUGUUGCAAUCAAAACAAAUAGUAAAGGGGGAGAGGUUGAAGAGAUAGGAAAUAGAAGGGGAAAAAAAAAGGUAAAUGACGGCAGGAGUUAAGAUUCAAAUUGUUAAGUUGCAUUAGAGUUUUUUUUUCUUUUUAAUUAUGAAGAAAUUCCAAUUCAUUGGAUUAAAUUUUAAUAAGGUAGCAUAAGUCCUUAAGGGUAUGUUUGGUACGCUGGACUAGCCAGGACAGUGUUAAAUAACACUUUGAAACCAGCGUUUGGUGAAAGAGGGACUAAAAUAAAUGGGAUUGUAUAGUCCGUUGGUUAAAAAAACAUCGGACUCGCUCGUUUAAUAUUGCGAGGAUGAAAUGCGGUUCACAAAAUAGAGAGUGUGCUAUUUUGAACGCACGAGUCCAACCAACGCAGCCUUCACUCUCAUUCUCUUCCUCUCGAACGACUGGAAGACCUCCAUGGCGGUGACUAGCUCGUCGAACUUGAUGGUGGUGCGGUUUCCGUUGGCAAGAGGACUUGGAGCUGGUAGCUGGUAGCUGGUGGACUUGACGCCAAGAGACCAGAGCAAGUCAGCGAGCUCGAGCUGGGUGAGGCUGCCAUCAGAGUCCAUGUCGAAUCGCAUGAAGAUGUUUUUCAGCUGCUUCUGCUGAUUGGAGCCGUGCAGCCAUCGUUCUGGUAAUGGCCAAAGAAGAAGAAAGGGAUUAGAACGGCCAAAGAAGAAGAAAUGGAUGAGAUAAGAUCCCAAUUGUGUUCUGGGCACUUGGGCCUUUUAAAAAAAAUUUAAAAAAAUUAAUUUUGUGGUGUGGUCUGGUUUGUGAAAAGUUAUGGUGUGGGGCUAAUUGGCUUCUUUUUUAGGUUUUUCCCUUUGAAAAUUUGGAAAGAAAGACAGACAUCCAGUAUGAAGAUGGGAAAGGCAAAGGUAUAGGAAGAUAAUAUAAUUUUUUAAAAAAAUAAAUUUAUAAAUUCUAAAUUAUUUUUUUCACACAUCAGCCCCAAUUAAAUAUUUCUAAUUAAAUAUAAAUAUUUUUCAUGUCAAAAUUCUUAAUUAAAUUUAAAUAUUAUAAUAAUGAAUUUUUAGUCCGACACAGUCCCAAACAUAGGUCUUCACUAUUUUUACAAUCCAGCUUUUUAGUCCGACGCAGCACCAAACGUAGGUCAGCACUUAAUCCAGCUUAGUCCAAUCCGAGCUAAUCCAAGACAGUCCCAGGAUUUAGUCCAGUCCAUGACAGUCCGCCGUACCAAACGACCCCUAAAAGUCAUUUUACAAAGGGCUAAAUUUGUCCUUAAAAUUUUGAAGAUAAGGUGGGUGGGAAAAUAGGAAAGGAGAGUGAAAAUAGUAGCACUCUUUUCCAUAUUGCUUUGUGCAUGCCAAAGGUACCAUAAAUUUAACAAUAAAUGGGAAAACUUUGAAUAUGGAGAAAUUUGAAAGAAAUAUAACUUCUAAUUCAAAUGAUUUAAAGAUGUUAUAUUUUGAUAUUAAAUAGUAUAUAUCAAUGUGUUGGAUAAAAAUAAUAGUAAAUGGUGAUGAUCAAUAAAAAAUUGCUAAAUGCUUAAAUAAAUACAUAAUUUGAGUUGGUUCAAUUCAAUUAUUAUUGUUGUCAAAGUUAGGAAGGAGAGGGGGGAAUUCAUACACAAGGAUACCAUAAGGGAUUGAACCUAGGAUCACUUGGGAGCACACCAAGGCCUCGUUAGAUGGUCCAUAUAGGACAUGAUUGGAUUUAACUUUGUAUUUUCGAUUGGACUUCUGGACCAGACUUUGAGUAUGUUGUUUGAUGUUAUACCUACUUUCUGUUGGCGAGUUCUUACUUAGUUAGGAUUUUGGUUCCUUAUUUAGUUAGAAUUUUGGUUAUUUAUCAAUUAUUAUUUAGUCCUAUUAUAAUAGAGAUUUAUUUCUUAUUGUAAUUUAGAUAUAUUUUCUAUUUUAUUUAGGGUUAACACAUCUUUGUACUUGUAUAAAUACCUCCAUAUUUGAGAAGUAUGAGAAUAUGAGCAUAUCUGAAUAUUUGCCCUACUUUGUUUGACUUGGUAUCAGAGCUAGGUUUUCUUGUGACAUGUGCUUGUGCUCUCCUUGCAAUUUAAAUACUCUCCUCCCUUCCUCUUCAAGGGAAAGGGGGGAAGAGGGAGGAGGGAGGGGAAGGGGAGUGAAAAUGAUAUGUUUAUUGACAUAUCUCCAUUACCUUGACGUAUUCCCAUGAAGAUAUUACCUAUUUAUUGACUUCGACAACUCCUUAGGGGGAGAAGGAGAGUGAAGAGAAGUUGUAUCUGCAUGAAUUAGCUAAAGUUGAUAUGACAGAAUUGUCAUCGUUUUCAGCUACCAUUUAUGUGGUAGUUGCCGUUUUCGUGGCCGCUGCUACCGCUUUUGAUGUUGCCUUUAUUUGCUUUAAUUUUCGUUGCUAUGGUUAUUGCCGAUGCCAUGUUGCUAUGUUUUGAUCUAUCUCUACAACAUAAAAAACCCUAACCCUAACCCUAAACUUAUUUCCGAUGACUAUAUACCUAGCCUAUAAUCCUAGCCCGUCGAUGUUGUCUACCUUGCUACCGUUGCUACCGCUUACCUUUUUAUUGCCACCGUUACCUCCACCCCACCAUUCAUCACCAUAUCCAAUGUUGAUGCCUUUAUUUCUUCACUUGCUUUUGGUUUUACUUCACCUACUGUCGUGCUCACAGGAUUUCUGUUUUCUGCCUUAUCUACUACCAUGCUCACAGAAUUUCUGUAUUCUGCCUUACCUAUUGUCGUGCUCACAGGGUUUCUAUGUUCUGCCUUGUCUACUACCGUGUUCACAUGAUUUCUGUGUUUUGCCUUAUCUACUGUCGUGCUAGCAAGGUUUCUGUAUUCUGCCUUAUCUACUAUCGUGCUCACAGGAUUUCUGUGUUCUGCCUUAUCUACUGCCAUGCUCACAGGGUUUUUGUGUUUUAUUUUUAUGUGUUUGUGCCUUAUUUGUUAGGGUUUGUCAAUUGUUUCACUUGGGGUUUAUGACAAGGUCUUCUUUACAGUUGUUCAAUUGGUCAAUGUCGAGUAUGGUGUUCUAUGACUCGUUUGUCAAGUUGGGCGUGCGAAAUAUCUUUGCCCUAACUUAAGGGGGAGUGUUGGCGAGUCCUUAUUUAGUUAAGGUUUGAUUCCUUAUUUAGUUAGAAUUUUAGUUACUUAUCAAUUAUUAUUUAGUCCUAUUGUGAUAGAGAUUUAUUUCCUAUUUUAUUUAGGAUUAACACAUCUUUGUACUUGUAUAAAUACGUCUAUAUUGGAGAAGAAUGAGAAUAUGAACAUCUGAAUAUUUGCCAUACUUUGUUUGACUCUUUCAACUGGACUAGAUAACAUAAUAAUUUUGAAAAUUUUGGAAAACAUAAUGGCAAAACAUAAGGAAAAAAAAGAAGUUAAACUGAAACAAAAGAAAACAUCGAUUGUAUGAAGCUAUGAAACUUGAAAGAUUCACCACAAGAAAAUCUGAACAUUUUCGAAAAAAGAAAUCAACCCCAAAUCAUGAAUAGCCAUGGCACACCACACAAACACAACAUGAAUACCCAUAAAACAAACAAAUCAACCCCAUAUCAUGAGCUUAAACAAGACCAAAACGACACCCAAAUUUCCCAAAACCAAAUCCUAUUUGCAUCACAAACACCAAUCUGAGAUCAGCACGAAAACCCUAGAUCACAAAAGUAAUGACCAAAAAAAAAGAAAAAGAGAGAAUAAGAUGAGAAAGGCAAAUACCAGGAGAUUGCAAGAUUGAAUUUGACAGAAUCAAAGAAUUUGAGAUGGCAGGAGAAAGGAGAGGGGGGAGAGAGAGUAGAGAGAAGAGGACAAAACCAUAGAACACAUGAUGCGAAGGAGGUUGAGGGAGAUGACGAGGAGCUCGCGUUCGCGAAGAUGAAGAGGAGCUCUUGUUCAUUGUAAACCCAAGUUUGGAGUUGGGUUCCAAAGCCGUAGUUAUUUGAGACUUGGCUCUAAGGUCCAAUAUCCAGUCUGUGAUACAAUUAAGCCCAUCAAGCAACAUAUUGGAUCUAUGUCUAUUUUAAUUGAAUAUAUCCAAUUCAAUUCAGCUCAUCAAAUAUAACCUAAAAAUUUGAGCCAAUCCAACUAACAGUCCCGAUCUCUUGGACCACAGGAGUUCAAGAGAAUGUGGUUACUCACCGUUGGAUGUAAAUUCAACGGUUCACUCACUCUUGCACUUCUUUUAAAAAACUUUUUUAAACCGUUGAAUGUUACAUCCAACGACGGGUGACCAUAAUCUCUUGGACCCCUGUGAUCAGAUGGUUUUCUCGGCCACUCCCUAUUAAUAGUUGAUUCGAUUCAAUUCAAGAUUAUUAAUUUAGUAUAAAAAAUAACCAAACUGCUCCAAUAAAUUUUGUUUGACCGGCCUAAAUGGUCAGAUGGUUUUCUCGGCCACUCCCUGACCAGUCGAGAUAAAUCCUCGCUUAUGUGGUUUUUUCUUGGGGUUGGGUCAAUACUUGCUUAUGUGAUUUUGGUUCAAAAUUUUGGGGCAAUAGAUGGGUCCAAAAUUAACUUGGUCUUGGAUUUCAAAACUUGGGCUUCUAUGAACCCAGUUCAAGUUGUACGGUCUAAAAGCGGUUGAUCCAUUAGGAAGACUUGUAUAAUUAAUGGCAGACCAGUUACAAAAUUGAUCAUAUAUGGCUUAUUGCUGGUCAAACUAACUUCAGUCUUCCUGUUCAUCCGUCAGCGAUCAAAUUGGGCUCCAGAAAAUCCUAACAUUAGCAUGUGCCAGUAGGUCGCCCCUUCCGUCGAUUUGAACAUAAUUGCGUGGUGAAACAUAGAGUAUGAUAUCAAUUGUUGAGAACUUAUAAUAGAAUUUGUCUGUAAAAAUCAGCUUUUAAAGGAAGGAUGUUUAAGAACAACCACUCUAGGAUAUGUUAUUUUUUAAAUGCGGGAUUUUUUUUAUUUUUUUUUUGGUCAAAGAUAAAUUCAUUAAACCCAAAACGGGAAACAGGAGAAAUUUGAAAGUAGCAAGCAGAGUGCUGAGACUGCAGACACUAUCCAAACAUAGCUUAGUGCACGAGCAAUCUCAGCAAAGAUAAAAAAUUACAUUACAGGUGGGCAUGGAAGCCCAUUAGAACUUAAGUCCUAAAGUUUAUACUGUUUCGAUCGGCAAAAUACAUUGUUGGAUAAAACCCUAUAAAGAACAUGUGCAUUUUUUAUUUAAAAAAUCUCAUCCACCCACGCAUAAUGAAGAUUAUGAUAAAGCAACAACCUAACCAUACUUUUCCUUAUAUGCAUUUGAAUAUAAGAAGAAACUUAUAACUUAAAAAAUCCAAAGAUAUAUGAAGGAAUGAGUUGAAUUCAUUUCUAAUUAUCUUAAGGUUUAAUUAAUAUAGAGGACGAUUUGUUAAGAAAGAUCAUUCGAGUUGUUGUGGUUCAAUUGAGAUAAGCCAUUACACAAACUUUCACCUAAUAUUGGUCAUAUGAAUAUAUGACCUUACAAAUUAGGUCAGCCGGCAGUGGAUGAUCAACUCGAUCAGAUUCUUUGAGUAGCUUGAAAGCAACGCAGCAACGCACACACAACACAGCAGGACCAGAAAUAUAGUAUAUGCUUCCUCCUCUUCACUUCUUUUUCAUUCCUUUCUUUAUGUACUGUUUCUUUUUGCAUGAGCUUCCUCCACCUCCUUUCCAAAUUAAUAUGCUUUAAAAACAAGCAUAUGAUUCGCACUUUCAAUUAAUAUAGUAAGGACAGUUUGGUGGACUGUUAGCUUGGAUCAAUCAUAGUAAUAAUCAUUAUGCAUUAUACGGAGGAGGAUUAAACUCAAGCGUACGAUCAACGACAGAUACUCUACUUUGGCCAAUCGACUUAACUCACAUAAGCACUUAUAUCACAUAAUAUUUUUUGGGCAUAUAUGUAUGAGGUACAUAAACUUGCUUGAAAUGGCAGAUCGUCUUAAAGGCCUUUGUUCAUAGUUUACAGGCCCACAGUUCCAGUACAGAAUUUACCCCACUUCUGGAAAUUAAAUAUAUAUCUUGAGAAUUAAAAUUUAAAACGCAAGCAUAAACUUUUGCUAAUCUGGAAACUUGAUUAUGAAUAUGAAGAGGUUUGUCUGUUAAUAAACGCAUAUAAUAAUAUACAAAAAUAUAUAAUAAUAUAUAUUGCUAUGCACCGAUGGGAGAUGGACACUUGUGAUGAACAAAGGCUGUGACAAAACAAAACUGUGAGAAGCAACAACACAUGUGAAAGCCAUUGGAUUGGUGGUGGGGACCAUGCAAGGCCCACCGUUGGAUUGGAUCAAUAUCCUGCGGUAACACAGUAAUGACAGAUGCCUGCAUUUGCAUGACAUGCAUGGGCUUGUUCACGUGCCACACCGUUUUCCGCAAUUUGCAUUUAAUAAGACUUACCCCAUACUCAGGCCACACCAUAUGCUUUAUGGACCAAACCAUGGGCUUUCACUUGGGGUGUAUCACCCCAAAAAUAAUUUAGGCAAUACAACAAAAAUAGACGGGAGAGUUUUUCUUGUUUAGAAGAAGUUAACUACGUGAUUUGAACUCGAGAUUUUUUUCAAUAAGACGGAGACACUAAUGUUUUACUAGACUAAAUAAUCAUUCGUAAUUGAGAAAAGUCUUAACAACGGAAACAUUUUAUUAAGGUUUAUUUAUUCAUCAGUCAAAAGAAGAUCUUAGGUUAAAUUUAAGUUACGUACUUGCUUGAAAACUAAGUCCAUCAAGUACUGAAGUCUUUAUGACUAGCCUCAUAUGCUUGAACUUAAUUUUGUUUAAACCUGAUUUUUUGUUUAAUGUUGGUGUAAAGUACUCAUUAACCCACAACACCAAGGUAUUAUUAUUAUUAUUAUUAGUAGGUUUGGAAUAAGAAUGGAACAUGGCAUGUGGCCACGUGACUGGUAUGGGGGUUGUCUUGCAAAAUUCAAAAACAGCCAGACGACACGCCAUUUUCAGAUGGGUCAUGCUAGGGAGACCAACUUUAGAUACCAACUUGUGUACCAACUCUCUAAUAGAGGUGGAGCCCACCAAUACAAUGGGUCCCACACUCUAUUAGAGAGUUGGUACACAAGUUGGUAUCUAAAGUUGGUCUCCCUAGCAUUUUCCUUUUCAGAUACUCAAAUAAAUCCAAAGCAUCAAUUCCAAAGCUUUGUUUCAUUAUCCCACCAAAAAAAGAUCCAUACUUUGCCAAUUCCCAACACCAAACGUGAAUAGUGAACAGUUUUUUCAUCCAAUUAUUUGGAACGUUUGAUUGAGCUAAGAAGAUGGUCGUAUAGAGUGGAUGAUGGGACAUCCUAGGUCAAAAAGAAAAUUGUACCACAAGCCUCUUAAGCACGUGGAAUUUAUGGAUAACGUUUCUAAUAUACCAUGUAUACUUGUUUUAUUUAUACAACAUUUGGCCAAAGGCCAUGAACUUCCUUAAUUACACUUCACAAUUUCAAACUAGAUUUAACAUAACAUUGUUAAUGUUAAUUUAUGGAAAAAUCAAUUAUCGUAAUCAAGGAGAAUAUAGAUUUUCGCUAACGAGUGUGAUCAAGGCACAACAAAUGCUGAUAGAAGUGAUCAAUAUGACAUAGUUUUGGAAAUAUAAUGUUAAGAAAUAAGUUGUUGAUUGAUGGAAUUGAGGCAUGAUUAUUAAUAUUAAACUAUUAAUUUAGAGAGCUGAUUUUUUUAUUUCUCUUUUGUCCACUUAUACUCCCUUUUAUACUAAUCUCUAAUUGAAAUUGGAUUUUAAAAUAGUAAUUAAGGUGAGGGAAAUAUAAAAUUGUUGGUUGAUGGAAUUGAGGCACAAUGAAAUGAAAUCUACCAACUCAUACCAACCUCUAUAGCUAGUAAUAGUAUGUGUGCCUCUUAUUUGGUCGGAUUAUACAAACCAACAUAAUGUUAUCUUAAACACACUAGACAUUUAAUUUGUACUAGAAUUAUCCAUAAAGUGAUUCUUUCAAAUGGAUAGCUUCUUCACACACACACAGCAAUGGCCCCUCCACCCAUCUUCACGCCUUCCUUGUUCAACAUCUGUAUCAUUGUUUAAUGAAUUUUAACUUUCACUUGAGUAACUUCCAAGGCACACACUCACUCUCAUAUCUGGUUGUCUCGUAGUCAUUUGUCACCUCUCUCUCUCUCUCUCUCUCUCUCUUCUCUCUCUCUCUCAAAGCUCAAAUACGCAAGAAAAAUAAGAGAUGCAAAUCACUCGAACAAGAAGAAAAAGCAAAAAGUCUCAAUCACCCUCACCACCACCACACCCUCCCUCUUCAACUUUCAACCCAAAACCCAAUAAUAAUCACUCAUCCCCCUCUUCCAAGCAACCCUCUUUCCACCUCUUAGUCACCACCAAACCCACCUCUCCUCCUCCUCACCCUCUCUCUAAAUACCCAACCCCCAUUUCAUUUUUAUAUUCUACGAACACACACUCUCUCUGUUGUCUUUUAACUUUCACUCUGUUUUAGACUUUAGGCUUUUAUUAUCACACAUUAGUUGUUGGGUUCAUUGGUUUUAUUAUUUUAGUUUAGAAAGCAGAAUGGCCCGGCUCUUCCGAUCCAAAUCUUGCCAUCUCGUUGGACUCACUGAGUUCAACAUUGCCCCUCCGAGCCCAUUUUCCCACCACCAUAACAACAAAGACGUUGAUGGAGAAGAUGAAGAAGAAGAAGAAGAAGAGGAAGAGGAGAUGGAAGAGCUGGAAUAUGAGGACUUGGGUUAUGAAGAUGAGGUUCAAAACAAUCCCAUGUCGGCCCCAUUUCUUUAUCCCACAAGUAGAGCCCAUGGGAGCAAUAAAGGUCGAGACUUUCAUGCUCAUAAUGGUCACCAGCAGCAAAACCAGUUUGCUGUACUGGACAUUUUGGUGGCUGCUCUGAGGAAGUCUUUGAUAACUUGCAGUGUGGAGAGGGAUGACGUGGCUUCCUCUAUCGAUAUCAGUUCUCCUACUGAGGUGAGGCAUGUUUCGCAUGUCACAUUUGACAGGUUUAAUGGGUUUCUGGGUUUGCCCACUGAGCUUGAGCCUGAGGUCCCCAGGAAGGCGCCUAGUGCCAGGUGAGAGCUCCUUUGAUCUUUUUGCAAUUUUGCCUUCUUCUUUUUUUCUUUUUUCUUUUUUUAAAUUUAUAAUAAUAAUUAUUAUUUGUUUAAAUAAUUGGUUGAGGAUGAAUUUGUGGAAUUUAUGAAUUGACUUGGUUAUCUGGAAAUUUUGGGCCUUUGGGUUGGUUUGAAGUACCAGUUGUCUGAAUUUGAAAACUUUGACAGAUUCAAGUUCAUUCAUACUUGGAUUUUAUGUGUGUGUUUGUGGGGGUGUUUUUCUUACUUGCUACUUUGCUUUUAAUAAUGAAAUUGAAAAAUUAAUGGCAUUAUGUUGUUCUCUUGUAGACUUCUAAAUCAGUUUCUGUGAUUUCCGGUCUUGUUUUGGCUUCUCUUUUGAAACUCCGCAAUUUUAUGUCUGGUUGGCUUGUCAAAAUUGGUCUUUCUGAUUCUGGGGUUCCCCUGAAAGACAAAUUAACCAAGUGGCUUACUUUAAAUGGUUUUUUAUUUUUUAUAAACACAAUUGGCUUGAGUCUUGACCAAGGUUGUGAAUCCCCUUCUUUGUGUUCGUCACAAUCACAACCAUUACCGCCUUAACUGAUCUCCUCAAGAACAGAGUUCCCCUGUACUUAAUGAAAAUUGUCUGAGGAUACUGAUUUAAUUUAAGUUCAUAUUUGGGGAGGGAAUUUAGAGAGGGAAGGAUGAUUUGAUUCUGACCUAAUGAGAUUGUUUCACCUUUUUAGUGCUUAUAAUUUGUGCUUCCUGCCAUAUCAUAGCUUUUGCUAUUCUGCCUUGAACUUGAUUGAAAGUGUUGGUAGGCACUUAGGCAGAUAAGGGAAUGUAACAUGGAAGGGAUUUAUUGUCUUUCAUUUUGUUUCUAUAGCGAUGGGUGGAGUGAUUCUAAUUAUCAAAGGAAACCAUUUGGUCUGUUCGGUUUGCAGUAGCGAAGAUUGUUAAAAACAUCUUAUUGUGCAAAUGGAUUUGCAUAGGGUGGAAAAAAAAAUUGUUAGUUUUUAUUCUUUUUGUUUUCGUGAGUAGAUUGUACUAAAAAACUAUCUGAAGGUAGAUUUGGGAAACAUAUAUGUGGGUCUGGCAGAUGGGAGUUUCUGUUUCAGCAGUUUGAAUAUAUGUCUUACAUCAUUUCCUUGAGUCCUAACAUCAAUGUUCCUGUACCAUUCUAUUUGACUAAGGACUAAUGGGAUACGCUUCUUUUCAUCCAGUGCAAGUGUGUUUGGAGUCUCUGCCAAGUCAAUGCAGUGUUCUUAUGAUAAUAAAGGAAACAGUGUGCCUACAAUACUUCUUAUGAUGCAAAAGCGAUUGUAUUCAGGAGGAGGCCUUAAAGUAAGUUUGGUUUCUGAAUUAGUAGCCAAGUUUUACUUGUAUGUUUCUUUGCACCUCUGACAAAACAUGUGGUGUUAUUUCAUUCUCCUCCUGGUUAAAGGCAGAAGGAAUAUUCAGAAUAAAUGCUGAAAAUGGCCAGGAAGAGCGUGUUCGGGACCAAUUGAACAAAGGUGUAGUCCCGCAUGGAAUUGAUGUUCAUUGUUUGGCAGGUUUGAUAAAGGUAAAUAUAUUUGGCAUUUCUAAGAAAAACUCCUCUAUUAUGCGUUUGUAUACAUUUUGAAAUAUAUAGCCACUGGCUCCUUCUUCAGAAUGUUUUGUAUUGUUAAAAAUGUUAGUGGACUUCCAGUUUUUCCUUCAAUCUUUCAAAUUCUUGAUCUUAAAUAAACCCUCUUGAAUUAAACCUUUCAUUUAUGAUAUCUAAAAUUAUUUUUUUAACUUUGGGUUUGUGCUCCUCUUCCUUUUCUUUCUUUUGGUUGUCAACUUCUUCUUCCUCCUUUUACUAAUGGGUGCUCCCCCCCACCCCUCUCCCCUUCUUAAACCUUUCAGGCAUGGUUUAGAGAGCUUCCUUCAAGGGUACUUGAUCCACUCACACCAGAACAGGUGCUGCGCUGCAACACAGAAGAUGACUGCACAAGACUGGUGAAGACACUUCCUCCAACAGAAGCUUCACUGCUUGAUUGGGCCAUCAAUCUGAUGGCAGAUGUUGCGCAGAAUGAACAGCACAACAAGAUGAAUGCACGCAACAUUGCUAUGGUUUUUGCACCGAACAUGACUGAGGUUGGUAGCCUUUGAUUUAAAAUGGUUGUGUAUUGUUGUUUUACAUGUGAAAUGUCUCUGGUUGCUAUAUGUUGUUUGCCUCAAUUUUUCUUUGAAACUCUCUCCAUUUUGAGUUAUGGUCAAGCCUGAUGGUUGUUAUAGCUUUAAAGUAAGAACUGCUGCGGAUGAUAUCUACCAGUAUCAAUGUCCUUGGAAAGAUGAAAUGAAAUGUUGUUGUUCCUUUGCCCCCAAGGUGGGCCAAGUUGGCCAGGACUCAGGACAACACAUUUUAGAUGGAAGGCCCUAGUUGGUCUCCCACAAUAAUACCUUGUUGAUUACCUGAUACCUAGGUCAAGUGUAGGCCUGGAUUUUGGGGUUUAUCAGGCCCACCUACUAAAAGAUGAGUCAAUCCAUAACAUCAAAAGAUUGUUGAUCCUUGGCUAUGACUUGGAUCUGACAAUGGUUCAUUGUUUUAUAAAACUUAGCCAAGUUUAUUCUAGCAGGGCUUCAUUGUUGCACAGUUCUCUUUACUGGGGGUAAUUGUGGUUGUAAUGACCAUAAGACAAUCCUCUUUGUUCACAAACAAAUAUAAGGUUUGCUAUAGACUAAACUAGAAUUGUUGCUGCAGAUGGCAGAUCCUUUAACUGCAUUGAUACAUGCAGUGCAAGUUAUGAAUUUCCUGAAGACACUGAUUUUAAAAAUCCUGCGUGAGCGAGAGGAAUCAGCUGCAGAGGCUACACUGCAUUCACCAAGCUUGAAAUCUCCCAACCACAACAGUGACACUGUGUAUUCAUUCAUGGGUGAAUCCUUUGGGCAGAAUCUAAAUUCCUGUGCCCCCAAGGGACCUGUUGAUGAUAUCUCAUUCAGGACUACCAGUUUGGACAGCCCGAAAGCUGACAUUGAUGAGAAACUGUGGUGCUCUCCGGUAUUAAGUGACGGGGAAGAUGAACUCGAGUCCAAUUCACACAGCAGCAUGUCUACUAAGUAUGAACUCGAUUGUUCCGAAAAUGGAUGUAGAAGUGGAUAUGAAGCUGGAGACUGGUUAAGUUUGAGGAAAGGAGUGCGGAAGCUGUGCAGCCACCCGGUGUUUCAGUUGAGUAAGCCGGCGAAGAAGACUGAAAAUCUUGGGAUUGUAAAUACUAGGGAGAGAGAAUUUUGAAGUUUUUUCUUUGAGAUAGAGACCUCUGUAUUUUUUUUUUUUUGUAUAGAGAGAGAGAGAGAGAGAGAGAGAGAGAGAGAGAGAGAGAGAGAGAGAGAUGUCUGUAUUUGUUCAUAAUAUGUUGGUUGUGGUUGGUUUGUGUGAACAUUUUUAUAGCAUAGAUGUUAGGCUUUUGGUUGAUUCUCUAGUCAGAUAAAAAGGAUUGGAAGGAACUAACUUGGGGGGGUAGUGAAAUGGAUAUAACUUUGAGUGCUUUUAAUAACAAUGUUGGAGAUUUAUACAAGUGAAUAAGCCUUGAAAGGAUGCCACUUAACACACACAAAAUUAAACUACAAAAAGAGAAGAGAGUUUUGAUGGGUUUACCCUUCAAUAAACUUCACAUUUGAUUGGGUUUGUGGUUUAGUUUUUGGGCUCAAAAUGGCAAUUGGUUGCAUUCAUGCCCCCCGGGGGAGUAUAUGAGCCCAAAACAAGGAGGCCUUUUGAAACCAAAAAAAGAAAAGAAAAAAAACAGAGAGAAAAUAACUGGGGUAGUCUCUAAGAUUUGGAUUAUGCGAAGUGACGUCGGUAAUUUAGCAAAGAUCUUUUUUGACAUUAAGUAUUUGAUCCUCUCUCCCCAAAUCUUUGACAUGAUUAUUUUAUUUUAAUAUGCAAAAGUAUAAACCAUAAUUACGCUAAAAAAA
rnacentral:lncRNA from 1 species